AGGUUUCAAUCGGCAUUCGGGGUGAAGAAUGUCUGUCGAGGCUUCGCGGCUGUUGUCACGGGCUCGAUGGAAGUUCCGGGUUGUGACAUUAUUGGACUACUAAUGAUGAUGAGUCUUAUAAGAAAAGUCCAACUCAACAUCAAACAACUGCCUGUUCAUAAGUGAGACAUACACAUUCAAAACACAAGUUAAAUGAAAAAAAACAAACAAGCACUCAUCUUUUUCAUUGAUAUCGUUUAUCAGCUUACAUAAAGUACUUAGCUUUUCCAUAUGUUCAAACAACUAUGAGACUUUGAAGGCUGUAUUGUAUGAAGAGUUAACAUUGGACAUACAAGAAGAGGAAUUGCUCUAUUGAAGCACAAAUGCUGUGCUUAUCUUCGCUAGAGUGAUGAUCAAAAGUUACAUGUGAUCACUAUAUGUCCCCUCUUAUUCAGCAACAAGAAUGUGCAUCAACCCUGACAUUCCAAAAGUCAAUGAAGUGAAGGCAAGCAAAUCCACCAAAAGUGCAAUAGCAACAAGGAAAAGAAGGAAGCUCUUUUGAAUAAGGACUAGCUAAUUUUUACCAUACCUAGAGCAUAUUUUUUGUAGCUCCAUUGUAUAGUUCUGACUAUGGUAAAAAUGAAUAGACAAUCAAACAGUUAUUAUGUUUUGUAUAGCAACACUUACUAACGUUUUGUCCACAUCUUUUGAACAAUCUCAUCUGCAUAGCAAAUUAUGUAUGUGCCAAAUUAUAUAAAACAUCUUUUUGCAGGUUUUUGUUAGCUACAACAUCUACUUGAGGGGUCCUGUAAAGCACUUUUAAAAUUCAUUUCAUGUUUAUAUAUAUGAACAAUCAUUUGUAACUUUCUAUUCGAAUAUCUUGUGAAUGUUGACUAACAAUAGAUACUUUGACACUUUCCUACUUAUCUUAUUUGUCACGACCCGGAACUCCCAUCGG